rnacentral:rRNA from 1 species
GAUGAACGCUGGCGGCGUGCCUAAUACAUGCAAGUCGAGCGAACAGACGAGGAGCUUGCUCCUCUGACGUUAGCGGCGGACGGGUGAGUAACACGUGGAUAACCUACCUAUAAGACUGGGAUAACUUCGGGAAACCGGAGCUAAUACCGGAUAAUAUAUUGAACCGCACGGUUCAAUAGUGAAAGACGGUUUUGCUGUCACUUAUAGAUGGAUCCGCGCCGCAUUAGCUAGUUGGUAAGGUAACGGCUUACCAAGGCAACGAUGCGUAGCCGACCUGAGAGGGUGAUCGGCCACACUGGAACUGAGACACGGUCCAGACUCCUACGGGAGGCAGCAGUAGGGAAUCUUCCGCAAUGGGCGAAAGCCUGACGGAGCAACGCCGCGUGAGUGACGAAGGUCUUCGGAUCGUAAAACUCUGUUAUUAGGGAAGAACAAAUGUGUAAGUAACUAUGCACGUCUUGACGGUACCUAAUCAGAAAGCCACGGCUAACUACGUG